UUAGAUUUAUAAAGUAUAAGGUGAUAUAACUAUUUGUUACAUCCAGAGGAAGAGUGGAGGAAUAUGGCUGAAAUUGUCAAGUUUGUUUAUGUUAUGAUUAUCUUUGUUUCCCCAUUUCUUUUUUCAAUGAACCUUGACGCGGAAAAUAUAUGUGAUGGAGAUUAUGAUUGUAAUCCAAAUGAAUGGUGGUGCCCACCUAAUUAUGUACUGAAGUGUAUAAAUUACCAAUGUUCAUGUAUUGGAUUCACACCGGCAAUAUAUGCGUUGGAUUAACACAGGCAAUAUAUUUUGUGCCCAUAUGAGUUUGUAUUUACUAUUUAGUUCUAAACCCCAAGAGAAUACACAAACGCCCUGCGAGAAUAUUAUGAUAUGUCAUUUAGUUAUCGUGUUGGAACGCAAUAAUUUGAAGAAAAAAAAGUUCUUUCUACUUUCAAGAACCUUGUAGCUAUGGCUUGUACUCUAAUAUGAUGGUAACAAAAUAAAAUAUGGUAGCCAAGAACAUUA